rnacentral:rRNA from 1 species
UACGAAGGGGACUAGCGUUGUUCGGAAUCACUGGGCGUAAAGCGCACGUAGGCGGAUUCGUAAGUCAGGGGUGAAAUCCCGGGGCUCAACCUCGGAACUGCCUUUGAUACUGCGGGUCUUGAGUCCGAUAGAGGUGGGUGGAAUUCCUAGUGUAGAGGUGAAAUUCGUAGAUAUUAGGAAGAACACCGGUGGCGAAGGCGGCCCACUGGAUCGGUACUGACGCUGAGGUGCGAAAGCGUGGGGAGCAAGCAGG